rnacentral:rRNA from 1 species
GGCUUAAUUUGACUCAACGCGGGGAAUCUUACCGGGUCCGGACACACUGAGGAUUGACAGACAAUUGUCUUUUUGUCAAAUUUAAAGACAAAAGAUAACAGAUCUUUCAUGAUUAUGUGAUGGGUGGUGCAUGGCGUUCUUAGUUCGUGGAGUGAUCUGCUGCUUAAUUGCGUUUCAAAUAUAUUUUAUUAUAUAACGACUACAAAGGAGUGGUUCAUUAACAGACAAUCAUAUCUUUGAGCGUCUGGAAUCUACUCUAUUUGGCUCAAUUGAACGCAACGGACGUGAUCGCGAGUCCUUGUUGAACUUCAGUAUAUAUUGACUUUCCCCGUAGGAAGGGAUUGGCAAUAAUUGAAUGUUCGCUUUCUAUAGGUGUGUAUGAUUAAUCUCAAAAUUACAUGUAUUUGUAGUGGCGAGUAUAAUUUACUAUCCUAUAGGAAAACUCGGGCGACCGCUGUAAUAUUUCUCUUUAAAACAGAGGAAGAUUGCGGC